AAACCUGCUCCUCCAACAGCACUCCCACUGAAACUCCCCUGUUAGCCGCUCUGUUCGCCGCCUCCUGUGCCGCUGCAGCUGACUGUGCCGCUGCCUGAGUGCCUGGCUCCUUAUAUAGGACCCCUAAUCAGGUAAGCCCCGCCCCCAACUCAGGGCUCAGCCUCGCUCUCAGCACACAGCCCCUAGCAGCCUGCACACACACUCACUCACACACAAACACCACAAACCACAAAAACCUGCUCCUCCAACAGCACUCCCACUGAAACUCCCCUGUUAGCCGCUCUGUUCGCCGCCUCCUGUGCCGCUGCAGCUGACUGUGCCGCUGCCUGAGUGCCUGGCUCCUUAUAUAGGACCCCUAAUCAGGUAAGCCCCGCCCCCAACUCAGGGCUCAGCCUCGCUCUCAGCACACAGCCCCUAGCAGCCUGCACACACACUCACUCACACACAAACACCACAAACCACAAAAACCUGCUCCUCCAACAGCACUCCCACUGAAACUCCCCUGUUAGCCGCUCUGUUCGCCGCCUCCUGUGCCGCUGCAGCUGACUGUGCCGCUGCCUGAGUGCCUGGCUCCUUAUAUAGGACCCCUAAUCAGGUAAGCCCCGCCCCCAACUCAGGGCUCAGCCUCGCUCUCAGCACACAGCCCCUAGCAGCCUGCACACACACUCACUCACACACAAACACCACAAACCACAAAAACCUGCUCCUCCAACAGCACUCCCACUGAAACUCCCCUGUUAGCCGCUCUGUUCGCCGCCUCCUGUGCCGCUGCAGCUGACUGUGCCGCUGCCUGAGUGCCUGGCUCCUUAUAUAGGACCCCUAAUCAGGUAAGCCCCGCCCCCAACUCAGGGCUCAGCCUCGCUCUCAGCACACAGCCCCUAGCAGCCUGCACACACACUCACUCACACACAAACACCACAAACCACAAAAACCUGCUCCUCCAACAGCACUCCCACUGAAACUCCCCUGUUAGCCGCUCUGUUCGCCGCCUCCUGUGCCGCUGCAGCUGACUGUGCCGCUGCCUGAGUGCCUGGCUCCUUAUAUAGGACCCCUAAUCAGGUAAGCCCCGCCCCCAACUCAGGGCUCAGCCUCGCUCUCAGCACACAGCCCCUAGCAGCCUGCACACACACUCACUCACACACAAACACCACAAACCACAAAAACCUGCUCCUCCAACAGCACUCCCACUGAAACUCCCCUGUUAGCCGCUCUGUUCGCCGCCUCCUGUGCCGCUGCAGCUGACUGUGCCGCUGCCUGAGU